GACGAACGCUGGCGGCGUGCUUAACACAUGCAAGUCGAACGGAAAGGCCCUGCUGUUGUGGGGUGCUCGAGUGGCGAGCGGGAGAGUAACACGAUAGUAACCUGCCCUUGACUUUAGGAUAACUACAGGAAACUAGGGCUAAUACCGGAUAGGAGCUCCUGCUGCAUGGUGGGGGUUGGAUAGUUUCGGCGGUUGGGGAUGGACCCGCGGCUUAUCAGCUUGUUGGUGGGUUAGUGGCUUACCAAGGCUUUGACGGGUCGCCGGCCUGAGAGGGUGACCGGCCACAUUGGGACUGAGAUACGGCCCAGACUCCUACGGGAGGCAGCAGUGGGGAAUAUUGCACAAUGGGCGGAAGCCUGAUGCAGCAACGCCGCGUGCGGGAUGACGGCCUUCGGGUUGUAAACCGCUUUCGCCUGUGACGAAGCGUGAGUGACGGUAAUGGGUAAAGAAGCACCGGCUAACUACGUG
rnacentral:rRNA from 1 species